rnacentral:rRNA from 1 species
CGUAGGGCGCAAGCGUUGUCCGGAAUUAUUGGGCGUAAAGAGCUCGUAGGCGGCUUGUUGCGUCGGUUGUGAAAGCCCCGGGGCUUAACCCCGGGUCUGCAGUCGAUACGGGCAGGCUAGAGUGUGGUAGGGGAGAUCGGAAUUCCUGGUGUAGCGGUGAAAUGCGCAGAUAUCAGGAGGAACACCGGUGGCGAAGGCGGAUCUCUGGGCCAUUACUGACGCUGAGGAGCGAAAGCGUGGGGAGCGAACAGGAUU